UCCGGUAUGAUCUAGUGGCUAGAAUACCUGGCUCUCACCUUGGAGGCUAGGGCUCGAUUCCUGGUACCGGAA